UCAGUACACCGCCGAAGUUGUGGCAUUCAAAUAUUAGCCAAGCGGAUGGUUUAUCCAUUUUCGUUCAAGCGUUUGGAUGGGUAGGGGAGCGUCGUGUGGGCAGUGAAGUCGCGGUGUAAACCAGCGGUGGAGCCUACACGAGUGAGAAUGCAGGCAUGAGUAGCGAAAGACGGGUGAGAAACCCGUCCGCCGAAUGAUCAAGGGUUCCAGGGUCAAGCUAAUCUGCCCUGGGUAAGUCGGGACCUAAGGCGAGGCCGACAGGCGUAGUCGAUGGACAACGGGUUGAUAUUCCCGUACCGGCGAAAAACCGCCAAUACUGAUCGGGGGAUACUAACCGCCCAAUACCUGACCGUUAGCCCUUGUGGCGACACGGUUUUUGGUGGAGCGCGGGACCUGAUCCCGGGAGGUAAGCGUAUUAACAGGUGUGACGCAGGAAGGUAGCCGGGCCGGGCGAUGGUUGUCCUGGUCUAAGGAUGUAGGGUCAGUGAUAGGUAAAUCCGUCACUGUGUCUUGGAUGACGCACCUGAGAUCUGACGGGACCCACCUUGGGUGGGAAUCCGGUGAUCCUAUGCUGCCUAGAAAAGCAUCGGCGCGAGGUUUUAGCCGCCCGUACCCCCAAACCGACACAGGUGAUCAGGUAGAGAAUACUAAGGCGAUCGAGAGAAUUAUGGUUAAGGAACUCGGCAAAAUGCCCCCGUAACUUCGGGAGAAGGGGGGCCCCAACCUUGAUGGACACUUGCUGUCCGGAGGGGAUCGGGGCCGCAGAGACCAGGGGGAAGCGACUGUUUACUAAAAAACACAGGUCCGUGCGAAGUCGCAAGACGAUGUAUACGGACUGACUCCUGCCCGGUGCUGGAAGGUUAAGAGGACCGGUUAGCCCUUUGGGGCGAAGCUGGGAAUUUAAGCCCCAGUAAACGGCGGUGGUAACUAUAACCAUCCUAAGGUAGCGAAAUUCCUUGUCGGGUAAGUUCCGACCUGCACGAAUGGAGUAACGACUUCCCCGCUGUCUCAACCAUAAACUCGGCGAAAUUGCAGUACGAGUAAAGAUGCUCGUUACGCGCAGCAGGACGGAAAGACCCCGAGACCUUUACUAUAGUUUGGUAUUGGUGUUCGGUGUGGCUUGUGUAGGAUAGGUGGGAGACUGUGAGACCCGGACGCCAGUUCGGGUGGAGUCAUCGUUGAAAUACCACUCUGGUCAUACUGGAUAUCUAACUUCGGCCCGUAAUCCGGGUCAGGGACAGUGCCUGAUGGGUAGUUUAACUGGGGCGGUUGCCUCCUAAAGAGUAACGGAGGCGCCCAAAGGUUCCCUCAGCCUGGUUGGCAAUCAGGUGGCGAGUGUAAGUGCACAAGGGAGCUUGACUGUGAGAGAGACAUCUCGAGCAGGGACGAAAGUCGGGACUAGUGAUCCGGCGGUACAUUGUGGAAUGGCCGUCGCUCAACGGAUAAAAGGUACCUC
rnacentral:rRNA from 1 species